rnacentral:rRNA from 1 species
AUGCUGGUUGAAUUUAUUAGAUUAAAACCAAUGCGUCGAGCAAUCGGCGGACCUUUGGUGAUUCAUAAUAACUUUUCGAAUCGCACAGUCCUUUACCGGACGGGCGAUGAUACAUACGAGUUUCUGCCCUAUCAACUUUCGAUGGUAAGGUAUUGGCUUACCAUGGUUGUAACGGGUAACAGGGAAUUAGGGUUCGAUUCUGGAGAAGGAGCCUUAGAAACGGCUCCUACUUCCAAGGAAGGCAGCAGGCGCGCAAAUUACCAAAUCCCAACACGGGGAGGUAGUGACAAGAAAUAUCAUUAAUGGCGCUUUUGGCGUUCAUUAUAUGAAAUGAGUACAAUUUAAAAACCUUAACGAGGAACGAUUGGAGGACAAGUCUGGUGCCAGCACCCGCGGUAAUUCCAGCUCCAAUAGCGUAUAUUAAAGUUGUUGCAGUUAAAAAGCUCGUAGUUGGAUUUUGACUGGCUGUUGAGGACUUCAGCUCCGGCGCAAUGCUGUGAGCGACUCUCAGUCGGUCAGCUGAGCUGCUUGUCGGCUCGGCUUUUUCGAAUUGCACGCCCCGGUUACUUAAUCGUGCCGGGAGUUUGGGCAUCGAAUCGUUUACUUUGAAUAAAUUAGAGUGUUUAAAGCAGGCACAACCGGCCACUGAAUACUUUAGCAUGGGAUAAUAGAACAUGACUUUGAGACAUGUUUUGUUGGUUUUGCUUCUCAAAGUAAUGAUUAAAAGGGACAGUUGUGGGUAUUGGUAUUCUGUGGUCAGAGGUGAAAUUCUAAGAUUCACAGAAGACCGACUACUGCGAAAGCAUUUACCAAGGAUGUUUUCAUUAAUCAAGAACGAAAGUUGGGGGAGAGAAGGCGAUUAGAUACCGCCGUAUUCCUAACCAUAAACUAUGCCGACCAGGGAUUCGAAGGUGUUUUAUUUGAAUGACUCUUCGGGCACCUUGUGAGAAAUCACAAGUAUUUAGGUUCCGGGGGGAGUAUGGUCGCAAGGCUGAAACUUAAAAGAAUUGACGGAAAAUCGCUACAAUGAGUGGAACUUGCGGCUCAAUUUGACCCAACACGGGAAAGCUCACCAGCCCCAGACGCGGGCAGGAUUGACAGAUUGAUAGCUCUUUCAUGAUUCCGCGGGUGGUGGUGCAUGGCCGUUUUUAGUUGGUGGAGUGAUUUGUCUGGUUAAUUCCGAUAACGAACGAGACCUUAACCUACUAAAUAGUCCAGCGAGCGUUAUUGA